UCCUUCUUCUUCUUAUUCCUUUAAGUGUAUGCAGUUGCUGGAAGAAGAGACUUCUCUUUCACACUUCCAUGUACUUUGUCAUACUUGCUUUUAUCCCAGAUGACUUCUCUGCUGAUUUCUCCCACUGCAUGUCGUCUUCUGGUUUACAGUUGUCACUGCUCCCUAUUUUGACUCCGUAUGGCGGCAGUACAGUGUUUGCAUGUGGGUACACUACUUGGGGGUAACGGAAGCAUUACUGUGUUGCACUCCAACUUCAUGUGAUGCAUUUUCUUCUGCAAAUAGUGCUCCAUGCUACUGAACUGCUUCAGUGCUGUGAUGGGCAGAUGCUUAGAUUCCAGUGAUGGUCAUUUUAUGAGAACCUUAGAUAAAUGAUGCAGCAAUGGCAUUGAAAGAACCAGGUAGCAAAAGGUGUUUGAUUUGAGUGUCCUCUGCAGCUGCUCAAGUUUACUUCUUAGCCUGGCUUUUACUUUACAGAGAAUUUAUGGUUGACUGUAAUGACUAGGAGAUCUGUUCAUGGACCAGGACUUCAUUGUGCCAGGUGCUUUACAGACAAAGAACAAGAAUGCUGACCUCAUCAAACCGUGUACUGCUUAAGUAUAAGAUUGAAAUAGUUUUAAAAAAAUCCCAACAAACUAGAAGGUUCUGUGGCCUACAUGGUAGUAUUGUAGAUUUUGGGGGCAUAAGCUUCUGUGCUGUUUCAAAAACAAAUUUCAUUUGAGUGGAGUAAGAAAUCAUGAGGAAGACUCAUUAUUUAAGUACAAGGGAUGAAGAUUAAAUGUUUAUCUGUCCAGAAAUCAGUUCCUGCUGUAUUUUGACAUGCCUUUACAUCUUUUCAAUUAAUGUGUUAAAACUGAUUUUAAAUUUGGUUAGCCAAAGAUUUGCCAAAGAUCUGAAAGAGCUGUUUGUCUAUCAGACCAACCACAUAUUUUGAAAAAGUCUUGAUCACUGUGAUUGAAGAACAACGCUACAACCUACGCGUUUCCAUCAGACAGACUCAUCUGGAUUUGUCACACUGAACUCGCUGCUUAUACUAAUGUUUUGGUCUUAAAGCAACAGACUUAAGAGAGCGCCUUAGUGGGCCACAAAUACAAGUUUCAUACCCAUAUAAAAACCUGUAUAAGCACCUUUACUAUUUGUCCUUUUGUUUUUGCCAGCUACAUACCAGAGCUUUUCUCUGUGACUGCUGUUUGGUGGAUAAUAGGUAGGAUAAUGCACUGGAAAAUAUGUGAAAUAUCUCAAAGUGCUGCUUUAAAUGCUACUGGAUAGCCUUCAGCACCUGGAGCCAUAUUUCCAUUAAAAAUCAGAGUUUCUGCUUUUUCUGCUUUUCUAUUUGGGGAGGGUGGGGAAAUAGUUACCUGGAUCGUUCUUUCCUAAUGGACAGAUGGAUUUUAAAGAUUUCAAGGCUACCAAAUAUGGCAAAAGAAUUGAAUUUCUAAAGUCAGGGAGUGGGCAAGAUACUCUUCUUGGUAUCUGAAGACUAAAGUUGUUGGGUUUGUUUUUCUUUUUUUUUUUUUUUUUUUUUUAAAUCAACAGUAUUCUGUGUUUCCAGUAGAGUACCUCCUUGUAAAGUGCCUACAAACUUGGUUUUGUGUACAUUUAGUGAAGUUCAACUCUUUUCGCUAGAGGGUUUCUCAUGACCUGCUUAAGUUGUGAAGCUAUUGUGGUGGUGGCUCAUCACUUAACACAUUCAACCAAACCUUCUCUUGUUUGUUUUGUUUAGAUAUAACUUUGGAUAGAUGAUGGAAACCUGAGUAGUAGAACAAUUAUGGUGAAGUCAAUCAUGCUGAGUGUUGGUUUCUGUAGAAACUUUUUUUUCUUUGUAUAGAAGUAUUUCUCCUGGGAGCCCUUGAAAUUAUGCUUUUACUGCUGCUGUCAAUGACUAAAGUCUACCUGCAGAAGAAAUACCUGGUGAUCAAGACAGUGAAUAAAGUCUGUCAUUGCUAGAGCUCAUAGUAUUCCACAUAACAGCCAGCUAAUAAGACAGUUUGCUUUGUCUAGACUAAGGUCUGAUUUCUCUGAAGCCAAUUAUAUUCAGUCUUUAGAAUAAGUACUGCAAAUUUUUGAAGAAUUGUGUUUGGCUUAAUAGAUCUAUUUAUCUGUACUGCUCCUGCUGUAUUUGCUUUGGUCUUGGAAAAAAUACUCUACUUUGGAACAUAUAAGUCAACUAAAAGAACAGUAUACAAAGA